rnacentral:lncRNA from 1 species
CAACAUGAUUUUUUGUUAUACUAGGUUUCAAACCUGGGUUUUUGUUCUAGACUUGGCUUACCCGAGCGGCAACUCGAGUCGAGGAGGGGGCAACUUUCCGGGAACCAAAAGCCGAUCCGGCUUAGUAACUUGUCCGAGCUUCUUUUUUAUUUCAGGGAAUGACACUAACAUAAUAGGGAGUCUCAACUAGCAAGCACAUCCCCGAAGGUGAAGAGAGAAAGGUGUCAGUACAGUUUGUAUGUACAGUCAAAUAAUAUCAAAGCAGCAACAAAACAUCAUUUUGCGCAUUAAGCACGUAUCACAUGAAAAUAUCAGAUAAUAAAGCAAAAUUAUAACAAUUUAUCAUAAGCUCGAAUUUCUAACCCUGAACCAAUUGUUCUGGCUGAAUAUUCCCUAGCAGAAUCGCCAGAGCUAUCACACCUUCUUUUUUGCACCCCCCGCGAGGGUCGAAGGAGUUUAUCCAAUUAAAGGACAAUCGAAACGUGAUUGGUUUAAUUAAUUCAGAGUCACCACUUGGGAGAUUUAUAGUGUCCCAAGUCACCAGUUUAAAUCACAAAUCGAGGAAAACAAUGGCUCUUUUAUUAUAAUCUGCGAACCAGAAAUCUGGAUAAGGAAUUCUGUUAACUCGGGAGAAGGUGUUAGGCAUUCCCGAGUUCUGUGGUUAGCAUGGUCGCUUGAAUGUUAUAUUCGUCUUAAUUAUCUGAUUUUUAUACAAUUACGAACCUAUGUGCAAACUUUAACUUUUAGCCGCUUUUAUUAUUUAUUAUUUUUAAAAGAGAAUUACAACGUUGUGAAAAUGCAUCACGUAUUGCGUCACAUAAAUAUAUCCAUAAUUUUUGACACAUUCGAACUUUAUUGAGAUUCGGAUUUGGGUCACAUAAAUGUGUACUGGAGUUUAGGGAGAUUACAUUAUUAAAAUACGUGCCUAAAGAGUCUAACACGUUAUUAUUUUGGUGAAGGCCGUGCAAUUCACUAAACGGUCCAUCCCAAAGUCUAAAUAUUUUAAUAUAUACAUUAUGAGGGCCCCUCACUACGUAUAUUUUUAUUUGGCGAGGCUCGUCUCAUUUAUUAUAACUACAAUUUUCUAUUUGAUUUAUUCUCUAAUAAUAAACAAAAAAAAACCUAGUUAAUUAAUCAUGGAAUAGUACAUUUUUAUUCCGUGCCUUUCCUUAGAAGAAUAUUUAUAAAUUAUUUUUAAAGCUACAUUUGAGAUAAAACAACAUGCUCACAUGAACUAACAAUUUGCGAACUAGACAGUAAGGGAUCUCAACAACUAAACAAUAAGAAAUUGCAAAUAAAACGUACUUUAUUCACACAACUUUUAUAAAGAACAGAAACAUGUAAUCGUAAGUAUAUACAUAUUAUAAAUUCCUAGCAAGACACCAAAAUAGUCAAAACAAUUCAUUCAUUUGCAUCACUUCCACAUUCAUGCUUCAAUAGCGUAAUAGAACGAGGAGAAAAAUUAGAACCUGGUACAACGAAGCUCGCUUGAUAUAAAAUUACCGCAACAACUCGAACAACGAUCGAACCCGAACAAAACCAACAGACCACACCUCGAAAAAAAGGCUUCGAACAACAGCAACAACUCGAACAACGAUCGAACACGAACAAAAACCAACAGACCACACCUCGAACAAAAUGGCUUCGAACAGCACCCCAAUCGAUCAACCUCGGAUCUUCAAUAUACUCAGUUCAACAAUGGCGGCAAGAACAAACAAUGGAUAUUUUUUAAGAGAAAACAGAAGACGAUGGAGAUGAGGUGAAGAACAGUGGAGUCUUUGGCUAUGGGGUUUCAUGGAAGCUCGGGUUCUCUCAUGGCUACUGGUUGUUGGUGGUUGACUGGUUAUGGCGACGUAGGAUUGGUGGUUGGCGAGUGAGCUGAGGAUGAUGGACGCUGGGCUGCUGGCGUGGUCGACUGGUUUGACAGAAGCGAGAAAUUGGUGGUGAUGGCUGGCUGUUCGUCGACUAGUGGAAGCAGCAGCGGUGGACGGGUUCGUAGAAGUUACUGGUUGGGUUCACGGGGGUUGGGACGUGGGGUGACUGGACGAAGCAGAAGGGUUUUUUGACUUGUUUUGUUUGAAUAUGAAGAAGACGAAUAAGACGAAGAAGGCAUAGUGUCUCUUCCAGCUCUAAGGGUCUCCCCCAAAAAUAUCUCCUCCC